AGAAUCAACGCUGGCGGCGUGCCUAACACAUGCAAGUCGAACGAGAAAGUGGUAGCAAUACCAUGAGUAAAGUGGCGCACGGGUGAGUAACACGUGACUAACCUACCCUGGAGUGGGGGAUAACUGAGGGAAACCUUAGCUAAUACCGCAUAAUACCUACGGGUCAAAGGAGCAAUUCGCUUCAGGAGGGGGUCGCGGCCGAUUAGUUAGUUGGCGGGGUAAUGGCCCACCAAGACAGUGAUCGGUAUCCGGCCUGAGAGGGCGCACGGACACACUGGAACUGAAACACGGUCCAGACUCCUACGGGAGGCAGCAGUGGGGAAUUUGCGCAAUGGGGGAAACCCUGACGCAGCAACGCCGCGUGGAGGAUGAAGUCCCUCGGGACGUAAACUCCUUUCGAUCGGGACGAUUAUGACGGUACCGGAAGAAGAAGCCCGGCUAACUUCGCGCCAGCAGCCGC
rnacentral:rRNA from 1 species